rnacentral:rRNA from 1 species
GACGAACGCUGGCGGCGUGCUUAACACAUGCAAGUCGAACGGUGAAGCGCCUUCCUUUUUGGUGGGUGUGGAUGAGUGGCGAACGGGUGAGUAACACGUGAGUAACCUGCCCCCUUCUUCUGGAUAACCGCAUGAAAGUGUGGCUAAUACGGGAUAUUCUGGGUCUGUCGCAUGAUGGGUCUGGGAAAGAUAUUGUUUCGGUGGGGGAUGGGCUCGCGGCCUAUCAGCUUGUUGGUGGGGUGAUGGCCUACCAAGGCGGUGACGGGUAGCCGGCCUGAGAGGGUUGACGGUCACACUGGGACUGAGACACGGCCCAGACUCCUACGGGAGGCAGCAGUGGGGAAUAUUGCACAAUGGGCGCAAGCCUGAUGCAGCGACGCCGCGUGAGGGAUGGACGCCUUCGGGUUGUGAACCUCUUUCGCCAGUGAAGCAGGCCUGCCUCGUUUGUGGGUGGGUUGACGGUAGCUGGAUAAGAAGCGCCGGCUAACUACGUG